AUUUUGCAGAGCAGUGGCGUGCGGAGCGGCGGCGGACCACCUCCAGGGGCUAAGUGAUGGAUCUUGUACUCAGUGUUGCAGAUUACUAUUUUUUUACACCAUACAUGUAUCCAGCCACAUGGCCAGAAGAUGACAUCUUCCGACAAGCUAUUAGUCUUCUGAUUGUAACAAAUGUUGGUGCUUACAUCCUUUAUUUCUUCUGUGCAACACUGAGCUAUUAUUUUGUCUUCGAUCAUGCAUUAAUGAAACAUCCACAAUUUUUAAAGGUAAGAAAUUUUUUUACCUAUUUUCUAACAAUUAAAGUAAAAAUAACAAUAUGAUAUAUUUCUGAGAUUUUUAGAUUAAGCUGAUUAUAUGUAACCAUUAAAUAAAAUUUUGGAGACCAACCACAAAUGGGUUAGAUAUUUUCAUGAGGGUUAAUCCCCGCUCUCCUUCCCUUAGUUUAAGCAAAUCUAACUUUUUAAUAAAACUAUAAGUCUAGUAUCGUAUCUUGCUAGAUGCAUAUUGGAGCAUUUUUAUGCUGAUAUUGAUGAGUAAAUAAAUGCAUACAUUUAUGUAAUUAUUUUAAUAUAUGAUUUUCACAAACUGAAAUGUGUUUUUUUUACCAUGUUUUGUUUUUUGGCUAGAUAGGGGAUUCAAACUCAGUAGUUUUAAAGUUGUUUACAAUCAUUUUUAAAUUUCAGUUGUUUGUACUUGUCAGUGACUCCAAGGACUGAACAGCAAAAAGAAAAAAUAGAGAGGAUUGGGGAUGGAAGUUAAUUAGGAAAGAAAUGGUUAUUCCAUAAAUAGAAGUUUAGAAUGCAGAUUUUGGAGGAAGGAAAAAAGGUUUCAGAAUUUGAAAUGCUUAUUGCAUUUUCUCAGUACAAAAGGAAUGAUUUUCUUACAUACCUAUUUUCAUGUAUUUAAAAUUUUAAUAGAAACAGUUUGGAGGUAAGCCCCUUCAUGUAAAGGAGAUUUUAAAAAUCCAGUCCAGAACAGUUUUAUGCUAGUUUUGUUUAACAUGGAUUUUGUGAUUUUUAAGUAUUGGAAAUUUCACUUUCAGAAUCAAGUCCGUCGAGAGAUUAAGUUUACUGUCCAGGCAUUGCCAUGGAUAAGUAUUCUUACUGUUGCACUGUUCUUGCUGGAGAUAAGAGGUUACAGCAAAUUACAUGAUGACCUAGGAGAGUUUCCAUAUGGUAAGUAAAUAACACGAGUGUCAGGAAGAGAGUAGUCUAAGCACAGGUUAGUUUCCUUAAAAAAACAAGUCUGCCCUUUUUUUUUCAUCUUUUAAAAUAAUUACAAAUUAUUCAGUUGUUUUUUAAUGUUCUAUUUUCAUGUGUUCAUGUCUUGCCACAUGUGCAUUUCUUUAGUUUUUCUAUCAAUCUGAAAGUCUGCUGUAGAUGAGAUUGUGUCUGGCGGAAGAUUGGAGUGAUCAGAGAUGGGUCCUUGCAUUUGUUUUCUAUUAAUUAUUGAAUUCAACCUUCUAAAAAAAACUUGAGUAGCUUAUGUCAUUGCUGAAAGUUAAAAACAGAUUUUUAAAAUCCAUUAUUCUGCUUCUUAGAAACUGUAACUCUUCUGGCAUACAACCACCCACUUUUCUGUGCCUGUAUACUUCAUUGUUUACGUUACACAAAUGAAGUCCUGAGGUGCAUAGUGGUUUGGGCUCUGAAUUUUGUUUCUCUUAGCAACUUACAUGGUUGUAUUUUCAUGUCAAAAAAAUCUUGAGAUUAUGUAAUAUAUUAGUCACAGUACUGUGCGGAUAUUCAUAAGUUAUGUAAAUGAUACCUAAUUGUUAGACCUUCGGAUUGUUACUCUUUUUUGUAUUAUAAACAGUCCUGUAGUGAGUAAACUUUUGUGAAAUUCUGAAACUUUUUCAAGAUACAUUUCUAGGAUCUAGUAUGUAAAAAGCAAGAAUCAUAGUAUUUAUUGAAGGCUGAUAUGUGUCAGUGACAGUUCUCAGCUCUUCACAAGAAUCAGUCCAUUGUUUUCCUACAAUUCUAUGAGAUAGGUACUAUCACUGUGCUCCUUUUAUAGGUGAGUCAAUGAGGUGUACAGAGAGUUUCAGUAACGAGUUGGUGGUAGAUCUGAGACUUGGACUGAGGCUUGCAGGCACCAGCACCCCCACACUUUAAGUAAGAAGUUAGUUAUUGCCGGGCGCGGUGGCUCAAUCCUGUAAUCCCAGCACUUUGGGAGACCGAGGUAGGAGGAUCACGAGGUCAGGAGUAUGAGACCAUCCUGGCCAACAUGGUGAAACCCCAUCUCUACUAAAAUACAAAAAAUUAGCGGGGUGUGGUGGUGCACACCUGUAGUCCCAGCUACUCAGGAGGGCGAGGCAGGAGAAUCCCUUGAACCUGGGAGGCAGAGAUUGCGCCACUGCACUCCAGCCUGGGCGACAGAGCGAGACUCUGUCUC
rnacentral:sRNA from 1 species